GACGAACGCUGGCGGCGUGCCUAAUACAUGCAAGUCGAGCGAACGGACGAGAAGCUUGCUUCUCGGAUGUUAGAGGCAGAGGGGUGAGUAACACGUGGAUAACCUCCCUAUAAUACUGGGAUAUCUACGGGAAACCGGAGCUAAUACCGGAGGAUAUUUUGCACCGCAAGGUGCAAUGGUAAAUGUCGGACCUGCUGUAACUUAUAGAUGGUUCCGCGCUGUAUUGUCUAGUUGGUAAGGUAACGGCUUACCAAGGCAAGUAGGCAUAGACGAGUUGAAGGGGUGGUCGGCCAGCCGGCAGCUGAGGCUCGGCCCACACGCCUACGGUAGGCAGCAGUCGGCAAUCGUACGCAAUGGGCGAGAGGGUGACAGAGCAACGCGGAGUGAGUGAUGACGGUCUUCGGAUCGUAAAACUCUGUUAUUAGUGAAGAACAAAUGUUUAAUUAACUGUGCACAUAUUGACGGUACCUAAUCAAAAAGCCCCGGCUAACUACGUG
rnacentral:rRNA from 1 species